rnacentral:rRNA from 1 species
GACGAACGCUGGCGGCGUGCUUAACACAUGCAAGUCGAGCGAUGAAGUUCCUUCGGGAACGGAUUAGCGGCGGACGGGUGAGUAACACGUGGGUAACCUGCCUCAUAGAGGGGAAUAGCCUUUCGAAAGGAAGAUUAAUACCGCAUAAGAUUGUAGUAUCGCAUGAUAUAGCAAUUAAAGGAGUAAUUCGCUAUGAGAUGGACCCGCGUCGCAUUAGCUAGUUGGUGAGGUAACGGCACACCAAGGCGACGAUGCGUAGCCGACCUUAGAGGGUGAUCGGCCACAUUGGGACUGAGACACGGCCCAGACUCCUACGGGAGGCAGCAGUGGGGAAUAUUGCACAAUGGGGGAAACCCUGAUGCAGCAACGCCGCGUGAGUGAUGACGGUCUUCGGAUUGUAAAGCUCUGUCUUCAGGGACGAUAAUGACGGUACCUGAGGAGGAAGCCACGGCUAACUACGUGCCAGCAGCCGCAGUAA